rnacentral:rRNA from 1 species
GACGAACGCUGGCGGCGUGCUUAACACAUGCAAGUCGAGCGGUAAGGCCCUUUCGGGGGUACACGAGCGGCGAACGGGUGAGUAACACGUGGGUGACCUGCCCUCAGCUCUGGGAUAAGCCUGGGAAACCGGGUCUAAUACUGGAUAUGACUCCAUGACGCAUGUUGUGGGGUGGAAAGCCUUGUGCGGCUGAGGAUGGGCCCGCGGCCUAUCAGCUUGUUGGUGGGGUGANGGCCUACCAAGGCGACGACGGGUAGCCGGCCUGAGAGGGCGACCGGCCACACUGGGACUGAGACACGGCCAGACUCCUACGGGAGGCAGCAGUGGGGAAUCUUGCGCAAUGGGCGAAAGCCUGACGCAGCGACGCCGCGUGA